UACGGGGGGGCAAGCGUUGUUCGGAAUUACUGGGCGUAAAGGGCUCGUAGGUGGCCAACUAAGUCAGACGUGAAAUCCCUCGGCUUAACCGGGAACUGCGUCUGAUACUGGAUGGCUUGAGUUCGGGAGAGGGAUGCGGAAUUCCAGGUGUAGCGGUGAAAUGCGUAGAUAUCUGGAGGAACACCGGUGGCGAAGGCGGCAUCCUGGACCGACACUGACGCUGAGGAG
rnacentral:rRNA from 1 species